CGGGCUGAGUCGGGUCCUGUGGACGAGGCCUGGCCCGCAGAGGCCGCUGUGUCUCUGCACACAACGGCUGUCCAGGCCAGAGCAGCCAUAGUGUAGCCUGGAGCCCCCCCACCGCUCCCAGGGAGGGGAGGGGCCGCCUGAGAUCCCUCAGGAAAGACUGGAUUCCAGGAGGCCUGACCCUCCGAGGGGAACUCGUGUGCUGCCCACCUGCUUCCUGCCGGGGACUGUCGGCCACUGAGCCUUCCAGGACCGGAGCUGCAGGGGCGACGCAGCCACCCACCGUCCCUCCACCUCAUCUUCCGCCGUCCCAUUGCCCGCCAGCUCGUCAUUCAGCAUGGAUUUCCUGAGCCACCCCCAGGCACCAGCACCAUGGCUCAGGCGAUGUGCAGACAACAAAGAAAGAAUCACACACUCACUCCCUGUCAAGUCCUCCCGGGCGCCUGGACUCAGCCGUGGGCCCCAGCCCUCACUCCCCAGGCCAGCUGGGGGCAGACCCAGGUCCUGGGGAUCCCAUGAAGCUCAGAGGUCCCCGACUUCACACCAGCAGGUCACCCAGGAAACCAAAGGAUCAGGGGCCGGCCCUGAUGGCUAUCUGGAGACUUGUGACACAAGGGAGCGUGAGCCCAGCUCAGCAAUAUCAGCUGACUUAACCUCAGAUGAAAGGAAACACGCGGGCAGCCGGAUCUAGGUCCGGGGUGGGGCGGGGUGAGUGUGGGGUGAGGCUCCGCGGGCCCAGCCCCGGAUGACCGGGCCCUGACCCAGGGCCCCAGCUGGUCUGCUUUCCGGGAGCCCUGCUGCCAGCCCCCAGGUCCCACUGCUCUGGGCAGCCUUCGGGAGUGGGGUGGGGUGUCCCCUUUGCCCACGUGGUCCCUAAAGGGCUUGUGUGCCCCACCUGUGGACACAU
rnacentral:lncRNA from 1 species